rnacentral:rRNA from 1 species
AUUGAACGCUGGCGGCAGGCCUAACACAUGCAAGUCGAACGAGUGGCGGACGGGUGAGUAAUAUCUGGGCAACUGCCUGAUGGAGGGGGAUAACUACUGGCAACGGUAGCUAAUACCGCAUACCAUCGGAUGUGCCCAGAUGGGAUUAGAUAGUAGGUGGGGUAAAGGCUCCCCUAGGCGACGAGCCCUAGCUGGUCUGAGAGGAUGACCAGCCACACUGGAACUGGGACACGGUCCAGACUCCUACGGGAGGCAGCAGUGGGGAAUAUUGCACAAUGGGCGCAAGCCUGAUGCAGCCAUGCCGCGUGUAUGAAGAAGGCCUUCGGGUUGUAAAGUACUUUCAGCAGGGAGGCGUUACCCGCAGAAGAAGCACCGGCUAACUCCGUGCCAGCAGCCGCGGUAAUUC